AGAGUUUGAUCCUGGCUCAGGAUGAACGCUAGCUACAGGCUUAACACAUGCAAGUCGAGGGGCAGCAUGAUCUUAGCUUGCUAAGAUUGAUGGCGACCGGCGCACGGGUGAGUAACGCGUAUCCAACCUUCCCCUUAGUAGGGCAUAGCCCGUAGAAAUGCGGAUUAAUACCCUAUGUUUUCCAAUGAGGACAUCUGAGCUGGAACAAAGAUUAAUCGCUAAGGGAUGGGGAUGCGUCUGAUUAGAUAGUAGGCGGGGUAACGGCCCACCUAGUCGACGAUCAGUAGGGGUUCUGAGAGGAAGGUCCCCCACAUUGGAACUGAGCCAUGAUCAAACUC
rnacentral:rRNA from 1 species